UACGGAGGGUGCGAGCGUUAAUCGGAAUUACUGGGCGUAAAGCGCGCGUAGGCGGUUGGGUAAGUCAGGUGUGAAAGCCCCGGGCUCAACCUGGGAAUUGCAUUCGAGACUGCACCGCUGGAGUGCGGAAGAGGGAAGCGGAAUUUCCGGUGUAGCGGUGAAAUGCGUAGAUAUCGGAAGGAACAUCAGUGGCGAAAGCGGCUUCCUGGUCCAGCACUGACGCUCAGGCGCGAAAGCGUGGGGAGCAAACAGG
rnacentral:rRNA from 1 species